AUUGAACGCUGGCGGCAUGCCUUACACAUGCAAGUCGAACGGUAACAGGUUAAGCUGACGAGUGGCGAACGGGUGAGUAAUGUAUCGGAACGUGCCCAGUCGUGGGGGAUAACUACUCGAAAGAGUGGCUAAUACCGCAUACGACCUGAGGGUGAAAGCGGGGGACCGUAAGGCCUCGCGCGAUUGGAGCGGCCGAUGUCAGAUUAGCUAGUUGGUGGGGUAAAAACCCACCAAGGCGACGAUCUGUAGCUGGUCUGAGAGUACAACCAGCCACACGGGGACUGGGACACGGCCCAGACUCCUACGGGAGGCAGCAGUGGGGAAUUUUGGACAAUGGACGCAAGUCUGAUCCAGCCAUGCCGCGUGCGGGAAGAAGGACUUCGGGUUGUAAACCGCUUUUGUCAGGGAAGAAACGAGUUUCUCUAAUACAGAGACUUAAUGACGGUACCUGAAGAAUAAGCACCGGCUAACUACGUGCCAGCCGCCGCAGUAAAAC
rnacentral:rRNA from 1 species